rnacentral:tRNA from 1 species
UCGGUAGAGCGACGGACUGUUAAUCCGCAGGUCCCUGGUUCGAGUCCAGGUCGGGGAGCCA